CCCUUUGUGAACUUAUACCUUACUGUUGCCUCGGCGCAGGCCGGCCUCUUAGCUGAGGCCCCCCGGAGACGGGGAGCAGCCCGCCGGCGGCCAACCAAACUCUUGUUUCUACAGUGAAUCUCUGAGUAAAAAACAUAAAUGAAUCAAAACUUUCAACAACGGAUCUCUUGGUUCUGGCAUCGAUGAAGAACGCAGCGAAAUGCGAUAAGUAAUGUGAAUUGCAGAAUUCAGUGAAUCAUCGAAUCUUUGAACGCACAUUGCGCCCUCUGGUAUUCCGGAGGGCAUGCCUGUUCGAGCGUCAUUUCAACCCUCAAGCCUGGCUUGGUGUUGGGGCACUGCUUCGAGAGAAGCAGGCCCUGAAAUCUAGUGGCGAGCUCGCGGGACCCCGAGCGUAGUAGUUAUAUCUCGUUCUGGAGGGCCCUGGGGGCGCCGUGCCGUUAAACCCCCAACUUCAAAAAUUUUCCCGGGGGCGCGGAAAGGAAUUCCCGC
rnacentral:rRNA from 1 species